UUGGAAGCCCCAGCCGCAGCCUCAGAGGUAGGUGACGGUGCAGGCAGCGGCUGCCCUUCCCUGGGUCCGUCCCGGCCUCCCCGGCACAUGGACGACGCCUGCGGGAGGCCAGCAUGCAGAUGACCGCCACCCGCUCGGGCCCGGGACGCAGGGAAGGGACAGCCGCUGGCUGCGCGGAGCCUGUGGGCCGCCAGGGGGGCUCAGGGCUCGCCCACAGCCUCCCUCCCCCCGCGGGAUGGCCUGCCUCCCCUCUGGGCAGAAGGGGCCGUGGGCGACAGGAGUGGUACCAGGAUCAGCUGGAUUUCGUCCUUGUCGCAUCUCACGUGGUACAGGACCAUGUCCUGGGCGAUGUCCUUGCGGUUCUCCAGCUUGUUCAUCUUGUCGUAGGUGUCGGUGUUCAGUACCGACCAGCCCAGGAACUGAGUGAGGGACUGCGGGCAGAGCGGCGGUGCCACCACCCGUGGGCGCGUCCUCGGGCCGCAGGCGGAAGGCGGCGAGGGCUCCCCCGCUGUGCCCGUGUCCCCCCCGGGGCCACCCCGAGUCGCGCUUUACCUCCAUGAGGACCUCAUCCUGCUCAUCGAAGGGCUUCCCGUCCUUCCUGUUGUAGAACGUGGCAACCCCCACGAUCUCCUCCUUCUUAUUGACGAUGGGCAUGGAGAGGACGUUCUUGAUGACCCAGCCCGAGUCGUCCAGGGGCCCUUCCUGCAGGGAGAGGCGUCAGGGUGCCCGCCACGCUGCUUGCGGCCCGGCCCGUCACCCAGCGGGCACGAGCCAUGUCCUCUGCCCCCAGGCGGCAGUGAGGGCUCAGGGUUCCUGUGGGCUCGGCACCCCACCUCCACCCCGUGCCCAGGAGCUCCGGGUCCGGGGGUUUGCGCAGGGACCUCUCCCACGGGCCCCAGCUGAGGCUACGUGCCCAGCAGGUGGCUCCAGGGCAUGGGUCCCGUGGUCACGCAGGCUCCCUGGCUCCGAAGGCUCCAGCCCGGUUGGCCCUCUGCCCCUAACACUCUCAGUCCUCGGGAGUGGGGCCUUGCUGUCCCUCUGCCGGCCCCACGAGUGGUGCAACUGUUCCCGACUCGCGGCCCCAGAGCCCUGGCCGGUCCCGGGAGAGGUCUUGGAGACCAAGGCCAGUGGCGUGGCCCCGCUGACUCGGGCCCUGCCCGGAGGAGCCGGCCCCACGGGAGGCCCCUUCCAGCCGGGCCGCGCACCCACUGCAGCCACCGCACCCACCCGCACCGCGGGGCAUGCGGGCCGCCUUGGCCCUGGAGGUUUGGAGGUGGUUUCUUGAGCAAACGCUGCUUCGGUGCAGCCUUGCGGAACCACAGCGUCUUCCUGCCGAGCAUGACACGUGUUCUGCAAGGAGGGGGGGACGUACCUGGAACGUGAACAUCUCGUCCGCGGCGGUGUUCAUGAUGUUACAGAUCUGGAAGAGGACGGGGACACUACUCGCCUGGCGUGCCCUCCGCAGUGGAGGUGGCGGGCGGGGCGGGAGGGGCCCCCAGACUCACAAAGCCGCUUUCUGCCACGUAGGUCGGAAGGCCGCUGGCCAAGGCCCAGUGGUCGGCGGGGGGCGAGCUGCGGGGAGAGCAGGGCGUCGGGCCGGGCUGCGGUUCAGGGCUCUGGGUGUCCGUGUAUUCCCUUUCCGGAGCUCCGGGGUGGUGGGAAGCUCAAGGGCCGUGCCCCGGGAGACUCGGAGGAGGCAGGGUGAGGUUUGGGGUGUCUGAGCCGCUCGUCCUGCCUCUGCUACACGGAGGCCCCUCAGCCUGUCGGAGCCCCCCUUCCACUGGAGGAGUGCCUGGAGCUCAGCGUUGGUCCCCUGGCCCGCCGGCCCGCCCCUCGGGAGCCCAGUCCCUUUGUGGGACCUGCAGGGUGGGGUCCUCGCAGGCUCGUGGGGUCUUGGGGCCACACGGCCAGCAGCUCUCCCCAGUCUCGCUGGUUUGCAGCCCGGCCCUGCCCCCCACCCAGCCACGUUCCUUCUGGGACGGGUUUCCCAUCCCCUCCCGCCCUACGGGCCGUGCCUUCUGUCCCCCCAAACCCCCCCACCCCGGCCUGUGUGGCUGGGUGAGCUAAGAAGCGACCCUGAGGGAUGUAAAGGUCAGUUGCUGCUGGCGGGGCCACCUGGAUGGCUCACCUGGGCCCCUGGAGGUCCACCCUGGCCGUCACGGUGUCUCCCGCCCUCCCUCCCCGUCCUGCGCACCCCACAGCCGAGGGAGCACCCCCGGGAGGCUGCUGAAUCCAUGUGGUGACUCCCCGAGGCCCACCCAGCAGGGGUCUGGGGUGCCCGCCCCCGCCGGCCCUUCUCGUAAAAUCCUGGCACUUACGGGAUGACCUUGAUGUCCUCCUUGCCAUGGAGGAUGUAGUCGAUGACCUUGUAGAAGACGAUUUCCUGUGAAAGGACCGCUGCGGUGGUGAGCGGCCCAGGGCCAGGCCACAGAGGGAAGCCCCCGGAGGGGAGGGGCCCCCCAGUGCCCGCCCAGACGUGCACACGCACCUCACCAACACAGCUAUGCACAACCUGCACGUGCACACGGGGAAGUGCACACAUGCGCCCACGCCGUUACAUACGACCACACACGCAGACCACCCCCCGACACUCGUGGGACACACGCACGUUCUCUGUCCCGCUCAAGCCCACACACAAGCUGGGUCCACUCCCCCUUCACAUGGACGCACACGGCCCACUGUACACACACAUGCACACACACACACAACCGUGGCAGGUCAUGGUCACAGCCACGCCACGUGCAGGGCCUCUUCUACACCCUUGGCACACGGCGCUGUGAGGAAGGCAUCUACCGCCCUCAUGGGGAAGGUGGGGACACUGAGGCAUGGCCGGGCGGGGUAGUGUGCCGCAGAUUGGACACACAGUAAGUGGCAGAUACCUCUGCCCAUGCUUCCAUGCCCUUUUCACCCCGCCUCUCUCAUGCACAGGCACACGCGCGUGCACAUACGUCUACACGGUUCCUCACGGAGCUGCUACAGGGACUCAGGGUAGGACACAGGACAGAUGCUGGUCGUCCCAGAGAGGCUGACAACCUUCCCCUGGAGAACAGCCCCCGCCUCCCGCCCCCGAGCAGCCAGCAGCGGCUGGAGCCAGGGGCAGCACAAGCGCUCAGAGCCUCCCUCCCAUGCCCACGCUGCUCAGGCUGCGCCUUGCCCCUCCUCCCCGACUCACACGGCCGUCGGGUGUGCGUGGGCCCGAGUACGGCUGCGCUUCUCCCAUCAGCACAGGCCACACGUCAAAGAAUUCCUGAGCAGAGACAGGAGGGACAGACGGUCAGUGAGGCAGCACUGCGGCGGCGCGGCGCCAGGAGGAGCACGGGCCUCACCUUCUCCUUGGUCAUGUCCAGGAGGCCCACGGAGUAGCGGUCACAGUUCAGGUAGGCCCGCACCGUGUAGAAGGCCUUGUGGAACUGCCUCUCGAUGUCCGUCAGCUCCUCAAACACUUUGUUGGCCGACCACAGCAGCACCUGCGGGGCACACCUGUGAGCCUGUGGCCACACCCCCUACGCACACCUGGGGAAGCACAGCAGCACUUGGGGGCACACCUGUGAGCCUGUGCCCCCCCCUCCACGCACACGUGGGGAGCACAGCAACACCUGGGGCACACCUGUGAGCCUGUCGCUCCCCUCCACGCACACCUGGGGAGCACAGCAGCACCUGGGGCACACCUGUGAGCCUGUUGCUCCCCUCCACGCACACCUGGGGGGCACAGCAGUACUUGGGGCACACCUGUGAGCCUGUGGUCCCCCUCCACACACACCUGGGGAGCACAGCAGCACCUGGAGGCACACCUGUGAGCCUGUGGCCACUUUCACCUCCACACACACCUGGGGAAGCACAGCAGCACCUGGAGGCACACCUGUGAGCGUGUGGCCACACCCCCCAAGCACACUUGGGGAGCACAGCAGCACCUGGGGGCACAGCAGCACCUGGGUGUGAACUGUCACUCCCCCCCAACACGUACACACGCGUGGGACCGCAGAGGUCCGGAGCCACCCUGGCGGGUGGGUGAGUGGGGGGGCGGCUGCAUGAAGGGUGAAGGCGGAACUCUGAGCAGCCCACCUCCCCCAUCAGCCUGAGAGGCCGUGUCUUGGGAAUGGGCAUUCAUCGCGUUCCACCAUAGAACGGCUCGAGGGUGGCGGUUCAAGGACCUGCUCCGUGAGCCUUGGCCUGCCCAGGUCGUCGGCCCGCGGGUCACUGGCCAGGCCCAGAGGAACCCCGUGAGGCCCGCCCUCCAGGCCGCCGCACUCGCCUCCCCGGCUACCUUCCGGCCGUAGGGCAUGUCGCCUGGUGCCAGGGCCUCCUUGCACGGCUGCCCCCAGCCCCUCGCAGACCCCCUGCUGUCCCAGGCAAGAAUGGGCCCUGGAGACCCCUGUACCCCGGAGCGCUCUCACCAGGAGGCAGCGCAGCUCCCACGCCCCCGCCCCCCCCCCCCCGCAAGGUUCCUGGAGACCUGAUCCACCCACUACCCCCCGUGGCUGGAGGAGGCUUUUCUGGUGGCCUGGCCCUGCCCCUCUCUGCCCAUCAGUGUCCAAGGCCCAUGGCCCUCCCAUGUGCCCUCGGCACGCACUCCGAGUGGCCACAGGGCCUUUGCACAAGCUCUGUCCUCUGCCUUUGCAGCACUUCUCCAAGGCGUCCUCACCUCGGAGUCUGAGCCUAAAGCCGUUUCGGGGGGGGCCGGUGCUCGGCAGCUGCCCCACACGCUGCUCCACUCUGAGUGGCCGGCGAGGGCUGCCCACCCCGCACAGGCUCGGGAGGCCGGGUGGUGCCGCGGUUCCGGAUCGCAGUGCUGGGCACCGAGACCUCGCACCUGCGUGCGCGCUGGCCCCACGGACGCCGUGCAGCUCGGCACUCUGGGGCGUGAGGUCCGGUCCCGGGCCGGCAGCUGCCUGAGCACGGAUACACGGGGCAGCGUGGACCCACAGCCGCUCAUGCACUGCUCAGGGCCCCCCUCCGUGCUGCUGGCCCGCACCCCAGUCCUGGGGGCUCUGGGACACAGGAUGCUUCGCCCUCCCCCGACGUGGCGAGGGGGCCACCCAUCUGCUUCUCCUCAGCUGACUGCCAGGCCUCGGUCUCCCCACCCAUAAAGUGGGGACAGUGACGUUCGCCCCUCAGGGUGCUGGGAAGAAGACUGGAGGACGAGUCAGGCUUCCCCGAGAGCCCCCCACGAGCAGUGCGAGCAUGUCUUGGGGGCCUUUCCAAGCGCCUUCAUCCCGGGCGUCUAACCCCCACGUGCCCCCUGGGCCCCUGCGGACGGCGCUCAGCCGAGUCUGGCACACGCAGUAAGCGUUGAGGUGGGACACCGCGGGAUGAACCUUCACAUCUGUGGAGUCAGGAUCUAGGACCAGCGCCCUCCCUGAGCCUGCCGCCGCUCGUCUGAGCUCCACCCCCUGGACUGUUCUGGAACUUGGUCUAGGUGUCUUCAUGUGCUGCCUGUGCUGUGUCACUGUGUGGUGGCUCUUCCUGACUCUCCUGGGGCCUGGGCCUCCUGGACGGCCUCUCAAGCACUGCCUCGACCCCAGCCUGGGGCCUUCUGAGCCUGCUCCUGCCCUUCCCGCCCCGGGACGCCAGGCCAAGGAGACCCCGGCAUCGGCUGACACCCUCCGUGUUGCCUGGUAGAGAGGAGCAGGCCAGGGCCCUCAGGGUCAGUGGACGGGGCUCAGGCUUACUUGCUUGCGUUUCUUAAGCAGCCUCCACGCCCAGCAGGGAGCUCAACGCAGAGCUUGAACUCAAGGUCUUGAGGUCAAGACUGGAGCCGAGAUCAAGAGUUAGACGCCUAACCGGCUGCGCCAAACCCAGCUUCUUAAGUGAAAUCUCAUCUUUAAAAUAUAGGAAACUUGUUGAUUCACAAUAGGGCCUCACCUGGCUCACCAAGGGCCUCUUGCCUUCUCCCGUCCCCUCCUUUAGGGUGCAAGUCACACCUCAUCUCCUGGACCUCGGCCCCUCCCUGGGGAGGGGUCACCCCUUCCUGACAUCAGCACCCAGCACACCAGCGCCACCACAUGUCACGUGAACCAAACACCAGGUGGCCGACGGGCCCGGAGCCAUGAUCCGCGGGGUGCUGCGGCCCUGCUCUUCAUGGACUUGUGCUCCGACAUGAACCUGGGGGCAGCGGUGACCUCAGAAACUAAGGGGCGGACAACAGAGGCCUGCAUGGCCUCCUGGAGGGGAGUGCUGCCUAGUGAGGCCUGACCCACACUCCCCCUUCAGGAGGCGUCAGGAUGCCUUCAUCGUUUCCUUGCUAUUUCACUAGAGUUCACCAUUAUCCAUGCUCCUGGGGUGAUUUGUCAUGGGAAGGUGGUCUGUACUACGGCACAUCCUCCCCAACUCUGUCCAGGGCCAUCACGCGGGGGCCGCCGCCAAGUCGGCUGGCACUGCUCAGCGGGGAGAGGCGUGCCAGCCCCUCCUGGCUGCUUCCUGACUUCUGAACGUUUCUCCUCGGGCACAGGACAAGAAUAUGGGGCCAGCAGCUGAGCCCUGGGCUGUCCACAUGGCCUCCUGAGAUUGUCCGGUCCUGGAAGGGCGGUGCCUGUCUUGUGGUCUUCAAGUGAGCCGCAGGCCGCGGGCAGCCUAGCAGGUGGAAGAGGACAGAGUCCUGUCCGGUGGGGCCCUUCAUCCAGCUUCUGGCGCCCUGUGGCCCGCUGGACAGUGGGAGUCACUCUGCUAAAACUGACCAGUCACUUGACUCAGUAGAUUUCUCAUGGAGAAAUUCCAGCAUCCGUGGCUGCACCUAAUGUUGACCUUGUUGCUUCUGUCACUUCUGACCAAAUGGCUUCGACGCUUCCGGAAAGGGACUGACAGGAGCCCCUGCGUGGAGUGUGCCAGAAGGGUGGUCAGGGCUGAGGGGCCAGGGCCCUGCUGAGUGGCUGUGAGGACCCUGGAGAGCUGCGAGGUCGGAGAGGAGGGGCCCUGUUCUCCAGCACGCGGAGGCCAGGGGGAGGCAGCCGCAGGCUUGACGGCAACUGCGCAGGGGCGGUCCCUGGUCACUACGGACCUUUCUCCCCGAAGGUGUGUGAGGGACAGCCCUGUGCUUCGGGCAACUUAUUUACGGUUAAAAUGUUGCUCAUGGUAUGAGGUGUCAGAAACAGCUUUCUGCCCAGACGGGGGGAUGUCUGAGCAGGAAGUCAAGGCACAUGGAGAGCCGCGGACGCCCACCUCGAAGUCCCCCUGGAGCCCUGGCCGGAAGCCCUCCGUGCAUGCAUGCGUGUGGUCCGAGGGGCCAGAAACCUCGCCUUCCAGGUAGCCCUUGGUUCCCAGGCGCUGGCAAUUCAUUUGCCGGAAUGAUACUCAUUACCUGGUUUAGAGCUGGGGUAACUGGACGACAGAACAGACAAAAAUCCGAGUCUUAGGAUUCCCUUCUGUGUGGGGGCGGCGGGCAGCUAGGACACGAUCAAAAUGAGCAGCCGUUCAGCUUGUUACAAGAUAUGAGUAGACCGAGGGAACAGGAGAGCAGCGCUGGAUGUGGAGCUGGGGCGGGGGGUGCCCUGCAGAGGAGCUGCACAGUGUGUGGAAGCUGUUCCUGGCAGAGGGACCCCAUGGGGACGAUGGCUGGGGUGGAGCGGGGGGUGGGGAAAGUCAGAGGAGAGGAGGGGACUGCAUGGGAGCCCCUGAGGCCACCCAGUGACGUGACCCAAGUUUUCCAAGCAUAGCUCUGACUCCUGAGUCAGGGUGCAGGAGCAGAAGGACCCUGAGAUGUGUCAGUGACAGUGGCAGACAGAGCCCUGAUUAUAUUUAUAAAGGGGAGUGGGGGUAGUUGGACACUGAAGUGGGGGCUCAGGACACAACAGACAGAUAAUUAAAAACCUGGCUUCCCCUGGAGGAAACUGCACCCCUCCCUCGACCUGGGCAACACCCAGUGGGGGAACGUGUGUGUGGUCAGGGCCAAGAAAACGCUCUCAGACUUACACCUACAAUGUAUGGGGUUGGAUUUGAAUCCUGGCCCGAGGCCACUGUUUGGAGAUGCUGCUGAUAAGAGUUGGGGAAAUGUCCUCAAAGCAAUUCUGGGGCCUGACUGAGAGGAAGCUGCAUUUAUCCACUUCUGGGAGAAGAGGGGGCCACAGGGCAAGGGCAGAAUGAGAGCAACUCAGCCCGUCAGCCCUAAGGGAGGGGGGCCAGACCUUGCCAGGGCAGAGGGAUACACAGAGACAGUGUUUGAAGAGAUAAGGGCUGGAAACCCUCUGAAUUUGAUGAAAUACAUGAAUGUGAACUAAAGUUCAACAAACUCCAAAUGAGAUGAACUAAAAACACCGACACCAAGACACAUUAUAAUCAACUAUCAAAAGCCAAGACAAAGAGAACCUUGAAAACAGUGAGGAAGGUGACUUGUCACACACAAGGCUCCUGAGGUUGUCUGCAGAUUUCUUACAAGAAAUUUUGGAGGUCAGAAUAGGUUGACAUAAUCAAAGUCAAAGAAAAAGCUAAAAUCAAAGGUAAAAGAAAAAAAAACCCUGUCGACCAAGAAUCUUAUAUCCGCCAAGCUGUCCUUCAAAACUGAGAGAGAAAUCAAGACAUUCCCAGGUAAACAGAAGCUGAGGGCAUUUGCCACCACUAGACCUUCCCUGCAAGAAAUGUUAAAGGGAGUCCUGCAGUGGAAAUGAAAGGACAUAAGAUGGACUCAAAGCUGUAUGAAGAAAUGAAGAUUUCAAUAAAGAAAUAAAAAAAAAAACAACAACAAUCCAUCCUUAAGUUCAUGUGGAAUCUCAAGGGUCCUAAAUAGCCAAUCUCGGAAAAGAAGAACAAGGAGGAGGACUUAUACUUCCUGAAUUCAAGACUUGCUACAAAAUUACCUUAAUCAAAACAUUAUAAUACUGACAUAAAGACAGACAUAGAGAUCCAUGGAAUGGAAUAGAAAGUUCAAAAAUAAACCCUCACAUAAAUGGUCAAAUGAUUUUCAACAAAGGUGUCAAGAUCAUUCACUGGGGGAAAAGAUAGUCUUUGAACAAAUGGUAUUGGGAAAACUGGAUAUUUCCAUGCAAAAUAAUUAAGGUGGAUCCUUACCUCACAUCUUUUGCAAAAAUUAACUAAAAAUGAAGGAUCUAAAUAUAAGGCCGAAAACUACAAAACUCUUAAAAGAAAAUGUAGGACAAAAGCUUCUUGGUACUGAGUUUGGGAUGAAGGCAUAGUCAACAAAAGAAAAAAAUUGGACUUUCUGAAAAUUAAAACUUCCGUGCAUCAAAGGUAAAAAGGGCAGCCCACAGAAUGAGAGAGAAUAUUUGUAAAUCAUAUAUCUUGUAAGGGGUGAAUAUGCAGAAAAUGUAAAGAAUCCCUAAAACUUAACAACAAAAACUGAGUUUUUGUUGCCCAAAUGGGUGAAGGACUUGAACAGACAUUCCAAAGAAGAUACACAGAUGGCCAAUACUCACAUGAAAGAAUGAUCAACAUUACUGAUCAUUAGGGCAAUGCACACUCGAACUGCAAUGAAGUACCACCUCACACCCAUUAGUGUGCUACCAUAGAAACACACAGGAAAUAACAAGUGCUGGAGAGGGUGUGGAGAAAUUGGAACCCUGUGCACUGUUGGUGAAAAUGGAAAAUGGUGCCACCACUGUGGAAAACAGUAUGAAAGUUUCUCAAAAAAUUAAAACUAGAAUGACCUAGCAAUUCCACACCUGGGUGUGUACAAAAGAGCUGAAAGCAGUGUCUCAAAGGGAUGUUUGUGCACUCCGAUUUAUAACGAUGCUAUUCACAGUAGUUAAAGUGUGGAAGGAAACCGACGUCCACUGAUGGACGUAACGAUAGCAAAAUGUAGUCUCUCCAGACAACGGAAUGUUAUUUAGUCUUAAAAAGAAAGAAAUUUGGAUACCUGCCACAAAAUGGACGAACCUCAAGGACUUUAUGUGAAAUGAAACAAGUUAGUCACAAAAAGACAGAUGCCGUAAGCUUCCACUUACACAGGGUACUUUGAGUAGCCAGAAGCACAGAGACAGAGGGUAGGGUGAUGGGUGCCAGGGCCUGGGGACAAGGGCACUGGGGCAUUAGUAUUUAAUGAGGAUAGAGUUUCAGUUUGGGAAUAUGCGGAGAGUUCGGGAGACGGAUGCUGGAGUUGGUUACACAAUAUGAAUGUACCUAAUACGACUGAACUGUAGACUUGGUUAAGACAGUAAAUUUUAUGUCUUUUACCACAAUAAAAAUAAUUAGAAAAAAAGUAAAGAGAUGGAGAAAUACUAUAGCAUGCUCGUGCCGAUCAGAAGAAAGCUGGAGUAGCUGCAUCUGUUGUAGACAAAGCAGACUUUAGAAGAAGGAAAACUGUCAGCGGUAAAAAGGGACAGUACAUAAUGACAGGGGGGGCAUUUCUCCAAGGAGAGAGCACCCUUGCUGCGUAUGCACCUAGCAAGCUGGUAGAAUUGGGGGAGCAGUAGAUAAACCCGCGAGCUGGCCAACUUCUGCGCGCUUCUGUCACUAAUUGAUAGACCUGGCGGGCAGAAAAUCAGUGAGAGGUGAGCUAAACAGCUCUGGAGAUAACGGACAUCAACAGACCCCGCAUCCAACAACAGCUGAAUACAUGUUCUUUCACGGUCACAUGGAGCACUCACCCAAAUAGACCAUAUUCUGGGCCAUAAAACACAUCUUAACAUAUGUAAAACAAUAAAAAUAAUAAGGAAUAUAUUUUCAUAAAACAGUAGAAUUAUACUAGAGAUCAGAAAUUAAACAGAAAGUAGCUGGAAAAUUCCAAAAUAUAUGAAACAGAACUCUUCUAAAUAAUACAUGGGUCAGGGCAGCCCCGGGGGGCUCAGCGGUUUAGAGCCACCU